AUUAAAUAGAGUUUGAUCCUGGCUCAGAAUAAAUGCUAUUGGUAUGCUUAACACAUGCAAGUUGAAUGUUUAAUUUUUAAACAUAGCGAACGGGUGAGUAACGCGUGAAUUAUCUACCUUUUAAUUCAGGAUAAUUAUUUUAUAUAAAAAUACUGAAUAAUUUUAAUAAAGUUUUAAUAACGUUAAAAGAUGAGUUUGCGUAAGAUUAGGUAGUUGGUAGUUUAAAAGACUACCAAGCCGACUAUCUUUAGCUGGUUUGAAAGAAUGAUCAGCCACAUUGGGACUGAGACACGGCCCAAACUUUU
rfam:Pythium ultimum DAOM BR144 ctg_1117875574679, whole genome shotgun sequence.